GCUAACCCGGGUCCCCCGUCGUUGUCGUUGCCCUUCCGCGGUGCUUGUGCUCUUGCGUGCUUGCGCUCCUCCUCCUCAUCGUCGAGGAAGGAAGGGAGGCAAGGCAGGCAGGCAAGGCUGCAUUAGCUCUGCGUCAUCGUGCUCUGGUCCCUCGGUCGCCGAUGCAGCGGCGGCGGGCUCGACGGGGUUGAGCGAGCGAUGUGCGGCGAGGAGAACCAGGAAGCGUUUGUUUAACAGGCUGCAAGGAAUUUGCGUGUAAAGGAGGAGGAGGAGGAAGAGAAGGAAGAAGAAGAAGAGCAGCGUUGAAGAGGUUCGGGAAGGAAGGAAAUGGCUUCUCAGCUGUCGCUUGCGGUGACGAAGAGGCUUUACUCGGUCGGCGCAGCUGGUCGUCUUUCUGUAUAUGCAGGGAGCUUAAGGGCGUUGGGGUUUGCCUCUGCUGAGACCAACCGUUAUAGUACUCAGGAUGUUAAUGAUGAUUCUCGAGAUGGUCUGUUAGAGAUGAAUACGCAAGUGCCAGAAUCUAAUCAGAGUGCCUCAGAUGCCACGCUUGAUUAUUUUUCAUUCGAUUCCCAGGCUUUUAUGGAAUAUCCCUCUAGUGGGGAUCAAAUUAAUCAAUCAGAACGUGUGCAUAAUAACGGCUAUUCGCUUGGCCGCGUCUACCAGCCUCGUGGUGUCCACAAGGCCAUACUCUUGGGAAAGGUCGGUCAAGCUCCUGCUCAAAAAGUCUUGAAGAGUGGGCGAGCAGUCACCAUUUUUUCUGUGGGAACCGGAGGAAUGCACCUCAAUCGUAAAAUGUUAGAUGGCGAGACCCCUGAAGAGUUUGCAGAGCGCAGCAGUAUACAGUGGCAUAGAAUAGCUGUUUAUCAGGAAAGAAUAGGGCAACUCAUCUUGCGUUCAAUGAAGCAGGGAUCACAGGUGUAUGUAGAAGGCAACAUUGAGACAAGAAUUUACAACGACCCCAAUACACAGCAAGUAAAGCGUAUUCGAGAGAUUGCAGUACGCCAAAAUGGGCGCCUUCUCUUCAUGGAGGCAGCAUCAACAGCUAGGGAGUCCCAGCAUAGAGAAAAUCCUUUGAAGUCUUUAGAGCCGAUUACUCGCCGGUCAGAGAUACCAGAUUAGCCCCUGGACGCAUAACUUGCUCUCUUUUGCCCCUUUUGUAAUGCUGGAUUCGCCAGAAGUCACAGCAAAUGAAUGUUUUAUGGUCCCAAAUUAUUCUUUCUUCGAAUUGUAGGCCUCGCUUUGUUAGAAUGUAUUGAAGGUAGAGCAACUUUCCUGUACUGUACCUGGACUGGCUGCAUACGUUCGUUGUGCACUUCUGAUUCGCUUUUUCUUAGGACUUAGACUGGGUUGCUCCUACUAUGUAUCUUCAGAUUGGAGCACCAUAUAACUAAUUCUAGAUUGCCAGAUUCUACGCUAGUAAACUGAGAGACUGAACACAAUUCUUUAAGACUCUGGUCGAAGUUCGUUUCAAUUUUUACAAUAUUCAGCUUA